CUCUUGAAGGACAAAUCAACAAAACGCAAAAGUUUUGUAUUGAUACACAUUUUAACCAACUUUCUACAUGGAUAGCGAUUCCUCGUCGUAUUACGCAACGACUUACAGUGAAGAUGAAAGAAUUGAAAAGGCGUUGCAAGCAAAACGGAGAAAACUAGCCCAGCUUGAACACGCAAACAGUUUGGGAAGGCAAAAAACAUUUGGACAGUUUGCCGAAUCCGAACUUGACAUCUUCAGGUUAACAGGCCUCAAGUUCCACACAUUCCGACACUCGAAAAUCAAAUUUUCUUUCCAUCCGGCAUCAGUCACAAAUUUUGUCAAUCAAAAUGUCAGAUUUUACGUCUCUCUGAAGUACGCAGGCAGACACUGGAGGCUAAAACGGGACUCACUCCCAGCCAAUUUCAAAUGGAAAAUAUACAGUUUGUUUUAUAGUCGCAACUUUUUUGAAAUUGAUGAUGAAAAUAUCCUCGCAACUUUACUCAAAAUUUACGAACUACUGGUGUUGUGGACACAGAAGGAGGAACAAUAUCGGGUGGACAAGUUCCAGAGGUUCAAAGAGGGUGAAGACGUGGAACUGGAUUCUGACGAUGAACAAUUUUUUUUGAGCCAAAGUGAACGGAAUGAACGCCUUUACAAGAAAACGAAAAUACUCCGCCGUAUGAUACCACCUAGGACAUAAAUAAUUAAUCAGUAUUAAAAAAACUUAACUUUACAAUGCUGUAGUAUUAAUUGUGGCCUCCUUGAUGGAAAUUGUUCGCACAGAGAGAUGGAAAAUCUCUCUCCAUCAAGGAGGCUAUGGUAAUGGACGAAAUAUCGGCAAUUUUAAUUUUUCCAAUCUACCAGAAAUUAAAAAAAUAGAAAUUGUUCUACUUGUAGAAU